UUUACUUAAUAAACAUCAAAUUUUAUUUAGAAAAAUAUAAACUAAUUACUAUUAUUUAUUGAUAGGUAUAUGGGAAGAUUCAAGGUGACAGAUUCAACUGAUACAAUAAUUGUUACAAUCUUUGAGAAUCUUGAAACAAUUACAGGAUGUUCAGCAAGUGAAUAUGCAAGAUCACCAGAAAAGUACUCACAGAUUAUACAUUCAUGUCUAUCCAAACAAUAUUGUUUCUACUUCAAAAUGGAUGCAAGAAAUGAUGGAAGUCGAAUAACAAGACAAAUUGUUGCGGAUACCAUUAAA